GCCAGGGGGAGGUAGGCUGGGUCCCAGAGGAGAUGACGCAGGGCUUCAGGCGUCUCCCAGCCCCCACUAUUCUCGCCUGGGAGCCAAACAGCACACCUGAACCCCAAGAUUGCCUCCACCCCCUCCAUUCCCUGAAGUUGACAUCACCCCACCAAGCUUGCAAAUUCGGGUGUCUCUGGGCCAUCUAAGGACCAGUUCCCUUGACGCUCUGCCUCCUCCCCAGGAUCUGGGAGAGGGACGUCCAGCGCUCAGACCCAGCAUUCCCGCCUUCCCAGCGUACAACCGCAGAAACCACGCCGGUGUGGACGCUCUGGCGCAUCGGCGUCCUCUCGUUGAUUGCCCUCUCUGAAGCCGCCCCGGGCGUCGCCACAUUCCCUUCCUUGAGGGCGGGGCCAUGCGGUCACGUGAAGAGUGAGACUGGCGAAGGCUUACGGGGAGGGGGGAAUCGGAGAGUUUCUACAACUGCAGUCUAAAGGAAUGACUUUUUGUUUGUUUGUUUGUUUGUUUGUUUGUUUGUUUGUUUGAGACAGGUCUGGCUACGUAGUCCAGGCUUUCCUUGAACUUGAGGUCCACCCGUCUCUGUUUUGUCAGUGCUGAGAUGAACCAGCCACCCUGCCCACUUUGAGACCGGUGGAUGUCUUAAUUCUGAAAGGGGAAACGAGAGACUAAAAUAACUAAAUUAAUCCU